rnacentral:rRNA from 1 species
CGUGGGUAACCUGCCCAUCAGAGGGGGAUAACAUUCGGAAACGGAUGCUAAAACCGCAUAGGUCCUUUAACCGCAUGGUUGAAGGAGGAAAAGAGGCGCAAGCUUCUGCUGAUGGAUGGACCCGCGGUGCAUUAGCUAGUUGGUGAGGUAACGGCUCACCAAGGCCGUGAUGCAUAGCCGACCUGAGAGGGUGAUCGGCCACAUUGGGACUGAGACACGGCCCAG